rnacentral:lncRNA from 1 species
UCUCUUUCAGUGACCAUUCUUGGCUAUCUUUGGGUGCAAGGCAGUGAACCAGGUGUUGUGAGAAGAUACAACUUGCCUUUGAAGAGCUAACCGCUUGGAGGAGAGAAAACCACAUCAGAUUCGUUUCUGCUGAGCCACCAAGGGAACUCUCAUGAGCUUCUAAAUCAAAUCGAAGACUGAAGAAUUUUACUUAACCUCGUGGAUCUUAUAUCUGCAUUCCCCCAAACUCAACAUGAGGUAACUCACUCUCCCUCCUUCAGUAGUUCUGACCAGCAGCCGCACUGGAGGAGGUGGGGGCAGAGAGGAAGACGACGACGAGGGAGAGGGAGAAGAGGAGAGAAGAGCAAGUUCCCGUCGGGGCGCCCGGGA